GCUGGGCACAUUGGCGUGUGCCUGUAGUCCGAGCUACUUGGGAGGCUGAGGUGGAAGAAUCGCUUGAGCUCAGGAAUUCGAGACUGCAGUGAGCUGUGAUCACAGCCACUGCACUACUCCAGCCUUAGCGACAGAGUGAGACCCUGUCUCAA
rnacentral:SRP_RNA from 1 species